rnacentral:lncRNA from 1 species
GGACUAGAAGCCAAGCUGUGUGGCUGCAGAAUCUGGGCUCUGAAUUAACACACCGGGUACGAGCCCGCGCCCCACUGUCCGGCACCGAGGAGACUAGCUGUCUCUUCUCUCCCAGCUCAGGGCGGGGCUUUACCUAGAGCUGGAGUCAAAACACACACACCGCUAAGGGCCAGAAAGACCCUGCUGGUGGAGACAGAAAUCAUUGAUCAAGGAGGAAAAAUUGAGUAAAGACAUGAAAACUACUUAACUGGAAAAGGUGAUUAGACAGCAGAGUGGAAUUGAUGAUUUGGUGCCUCCUUUUCCCUGGACCAUCAUUCCGAGAGACCACACACAGUUAUGACAUAAAGUCCAGCUGAAACGUUCAUUCCAGAUCUCUCUGAAUGGGAUACAUUCAGGCUCAGGGAGCCGCUCUUAACUGACGGUGUUGCCUAGGACAGAGAGCUGUGGAGCAGCGGGGACCAGGAAUUCUGAGUGUAGCCACCACUCGCUCACUUCACAUUUGACACAUACGCAGUGUCUCCUGUUGGCUGAACCCAACGACAAGCCAGACGGCCAGGGAAACUAGGGGAUGCAGUCAGUAAAGGUCAACCUCGUGGGACACUGCAGAGAAAACAGUGAAGAACCAUUCUGGAGGGACGAUGGAGCAGCAUCUCCAUCAUCUACUCUGUGGGCAGCAACUCUACUUUUACGAAUAUUAUCCAAGGCACAUAAUCAGAGAAAAAGUUCACUGCAGGCCAAUCUGCUUUCCUGGUCUGAAAAGAGCCCAUGUGUCAGUCUGUCUACAGAGCUGUGUCGCUUAAGCACAGGGCAAGGCUGGGAAGGACUGUUGACUAUGGGCUCGGGAGGGGAGGCACCGC